rnacentral:rRNA from 1 species
UACGUAGGGUGCAAGCGUUGUCCGGAAUUAUUGGGCGUAAAGAGCUCGUAGGCGGUCUGUCACGUCGGAUGUGAAAACUCAGGGCUCAACCCCGAGCCUGCAUACGAUACGGGCAGACUUGAGUUCGGCAGGGGAGACUGGAAUUCCUGGUGUAGCGGUGAAAUGCGCAGAUAUCAGGAGGAACACCGGUGGCGAAGGCGGCAUCCUGGACUGGUCCUGACACUCAGGAGCGAAAGCGUGGGGAGCGAUCCGG